GAUGAACGCUAGCGGCAGGCCUAAUACAUGCAAGCCGAACGGCAAGUAUUUUCAGCAAUAGGAAAUCCUAGAGUGGCGUAAGGGUGCGUAACACGUAUGCAAUCUGCCCUCAACAGGAGGAUAGCCUACCCCGGAAAGGGGAAUUAAGACUCCAUAAGAUCUUAGAGUGGCAUCACUUAGAGAAUUAAACUACCGAGGGGUUGAGGAUGAGCAUGCGCAUGAUUAGUUAGUUGGCGGGGUAACGCCCACCAAGACGAUGAUCAGUUAGGGGAACUGAGAGG
rnacentral:rRNA from 1 species